AGUGGCGGACGGGUGAGUAACGCGUGAGAAUCUGCCUUGGGGUCGGGGACAACCACUGGAAACGGUGGCUAAUACCGGAUAAGCCGAUUGGUGAAAGAUUUAUUGCCCGAAGAGGAGCUCGCGUCUGAUUAGCCAGUUGGUGAGGUAAGAGCUCACCAAGGCAGCGAUCAGUAGCUGGUCUGAGAGGACGAUCAGCCACACUGGGACUGAGACACGGCCCAGACUCCUACGGGAGGCAGCAGUGGGGAAUUUUCCGCAAUGGGCGAAAGCCUGACGGAGCAAGACCGCGUGAGGGAGGAAGGCUCUUGGGUUGUAAACCUCUUUUCUCAGGGAAGAAGCUCUGACGGUACCUGAGGAAUCAGCCUCGGCUAACUCCGUGCCAGCAGCCGCGGUAAUACGGAGGAGGCAAGCGUUAUCCGGAAUUAUUGGGCGUAAAGCGUCCGCAGGUGGCGAUUCAAGUCUGCUGUCAAAGCACGGGGCUUAACUCCGUAAAGGCAGUGGAAACUGAAUAGCUAGAGUGCCGUAGGGGUAGAGGGAAUUCCCGGUGUAGCGGUGAAAUGCGUAGAGAUCGGGAAGAACAUCGGUGGCGAAAGCGCUCUACUGGACGGCAACUGACACUCAGGGACGAAAGCUAGGGGAGCGAAUGGGAUUAGAUACCCC
rnacentral:rRNA from 1 species